rnacentral:SRP_RNA from 1 species
GCUGGGUAUGGUGGUGCACACCUGUAAUCCCAGCUACUUGGGAGGCUGGGGCAGGAGAAUUGCUUGAACUCGGAAGGCAGAGGUUGCAGUGAGCUGAGAUCGUGCCACUGCACUUCAGCCUGGAGACAGAGUGAGACUCUGUCUCAAAAAAAAAAAAAUCAUGUUUCAUGCUUCAGUUUAUCUGUUCUUUCUUUUUUUAUUUUUUUUGUGACAGGGUCUCACUCUGCUGCCCAGGCUGGAGUGCAGUGGCGUGAUCUCGGCUCACUGCAACUUCCACCUCCUGGGUUCAAGCGAUUCUCCUGCUUCAG